GCCCUAGUAGCUCAGCUUAGAGCGCCGGUCUUGUAAUCCGGAGGCCGGAGGUAGAUUCCUCCCUAGUGCU
rnacentral:tRNA from 1 species